rnacentral:rRNA from 1 species
UACGUAGGUGGCAAGCGUUAUCCGGAAUUAUUGGGCGUAAAGGGAGCGUAGGCGGAUAUUUAAGUGGGAUGUGAAAUACAUGAGCUCAACUCGUGUGCUGCAUUCCAAACUGGAUAUCUAGAGUGCAGGAGAGGAGAGUGGAAUUCCUAGUGUAGCGGUGAAAUGCGUAGAGAUUAGGAAGAACACCAGUGGCGAAGGCGACUCUCUGGACUGUAACUGACGCUGAGGCUCGAAAGCGUGGGGAGCGAACAGG